AGCCUUGUAUUCAUUUUGUGAUUAUAGAAUGCAAUUCUGUAGGGGUAAUUAAGAUUUACCAAGGCCU
rnacentral:tRNA from 1 species